AAAUUGAAGAGUUUGAUCAUGGCUCAGAUUGAACGCUGGCGGCAGGCCUAACACAUGCAAGUCGAACGGUAACAGGAAGCAGCUUGCUGCUUUGCUGACGAGUGGCGGACGGGUGAGUAAUGUCUGGGAAACUGCCUGAUGGAGGGGGAUAACUACUGGAAACGGUAGCUAAUACCGCAUAACGUCGCAAGACCAAAGAGGGGGACCUUCGGGCCUCUUGCCAUCGGAUGUGCCCAGAUGGGAUUAGCUUGUUGGUGGGGUAACGGCU
rnacentral:rRNA from 1 species